rnacentral:rRNA from 1 species
GAUGAACGCUGGCGGCGUGCCUAAUACAUGCAAGUCGAGCGAACGGACGAGAAGCUUGCUUCUCUGAUGUUAGCGGCGGACGGGUGAGUAACACGUGGAUAACCUACCUAUAAGACUGGGAUAACUUCGGGAAACCGGAGCUAAUACCGGAUAAUAUUUUGAACCGCAUGGUUCAAAAGUGAAAGACGGUCUUGCUGUCACUUAUAGAUGGAUCCGCGCUGCAUUAGCUAGUUGGUAAGGUAACGGCUUACCAAGGCAACGAUGCAUAGCCGACCUGAGAGGAGGAUGGGCCACAAUAGAGCGGAGAGCCGGUCGAGGCGACAGCGGGAAGCAGCAGCACGGAAGGUGGGGGAAUGGGCGAAGGACAGACAAAGCAAGGCGGCGGGAAUGAAGAAAGUCUUCAGAUCGUAAAACACUCUUAUCAGUAAAGAACAUAUGUGUCAGUACCUACUCCCAACUUGACGCUACCGAAACAGUAAGCCAAGGCUAACUACGUG